rnacentral:rRNA from 1 species
GACGAACGCUGGCGGCGUGCUUAACACAUGCAAGUCGAACGGAAAGGCCCUGCUUUUGUGGGGUGCUCGAGUGGCGAACGGGUGAGUAACACGUGAGUAACCUGCCCUUGACUGUGGGAUAACUUCAGGAAACUGGGGCUAAUACCGGAUAGGAGCUCCUGCUGCAUGGUGGGGGUUGGAAAGUUUCGGCGGUUGUGGAUGGACUCGCGGCUUAUCGGCUUGUUGGUGGGGUAGUGGCUUACCAAGGCUUUGACGGGUAGCCGGCCUGAGAGGGUGACCGGCGACAUUGGGACUGCGGUACGGCGCAGACGCCUACGGGCGGCAGCAGGGGGGAAUAUUGCACAGUGGGCGGAAGCCUGAUGCAGCAGCGCCGCGUGCGGGAUGCCGGCCUUCGGGUUGUAAACCGCUUUCGCCUGUGCCGAAGCGUGAGUGACGGUAAUGGGUAAAGAAGCACCGGCUAACUACGUG